GUUGCUUCCUCAAAACUUGUUCAAAUCCAAAAACACAACACAGAACAGAGGAAUCCAAGAGAUUUAAGAACCUAUUGUGACGAUGCCUAGCAUGCUUCACACCCAUCAAUCUCACUUCUUGUUCCUCCAUCAUCCGCCAAUCUCCACCGUUCAUUCCAAGUCGCAGUCUUUCCACUUCCCGCAAUCAAUGGCUCCGGUUAACCUCCGUACGAAUCUCUCCGUGCGCCGGAGUGUACGGUGUAUGGCAAACCCGAGGCGAGUGAAGAUGGUGGCUAAGCAGAUAAUGAGGGAACUCUCCGAUAUGCUUCUCACUGACACGGUUUUACAGCACGCCGUGUUGCCCGAAGCUGCACUUGGAGCUGACCGCUACCUCUCUUCUCUUACCACCAUCAGCGAUGUUGAGGUCUCUAAUGAUUUGCAGGUGGUGAAAGUAUAUGUAUCCGUGUUUGGUGAUGACAGAGGGAAAGAUGUAGCAAUUGCCGGGUUGAAAUCAAAAGCUAAGUACGUUAGGAGUGAGCUUGGGAAGCGAAUGAAGUUGAGAUUGACGCCUGAGGUCAGAUUUAUUGAGGAUGAAUCCAUGGAAAGAGGAAGCAGGGUUAUUGCAAUACUGGACAAAUUAAAAGCUGAGAAGGGAAGCGGGGAUGGUGUAAACGAAGGGAGACCAGAACCAUCUGAUUCAGCAGAGGAUAAUCAAGAUUGGGACGUGGAUGACCCUGACGAAGACAUAAUCUAUGUAAAGUAAUGGUCUGUAGCAGUUUAAGCACCAAGCAUGAGUGCAUAUCACUCUGAUAUAAUGCUCCACGUUUUUGGACGAUAUUACAAGGCGGCAUGGGAGAACGGAGAAGAUGAAUACCAAUGAAAGUUACUUAUAAAACUCGUUAUGGAGCCUGAAAGCUUGUUUGGUCCGUUUACUCAGAUAUGUCCAACAAAAUUGUUAUUUUGGAUUAGUCAGUGUAACAGUGUAGGCAUAAGCUCUUGUUUCUGCUUCGUUGUAAUGUCUUUGUUUUGUGUUAAUGUCAGCUCUCACAUUCCUGGUAUCAUGUUAGGUGUUUUGACAACAGUUAUUGAUAUAAGUCUUGGAUCAGAUAACAACUAA